GACGAACGCUGGCGGCGUGGAUUAGGCAUGCAAGUCGAACGGUAUCAUCCUUUCGGGGGUGAGAGAGUGGCGAACUGGUGAGUAACACGUAGGUUAUCUACCCUCAAGACGGGGACAAUCCAGGGAAACUUGGGCUAAUACCGGAUGUGAGCAACUUUUAGUUGUUUGAAAGGUGGCGUAAGCUGUCGCUUGGGGAUGAGCCUGCGUCCUAUUAGUUAGUUGGUGAGGUAACGGCUCACCUAGGCAAUGAUAGGUAGGCGGCCUUAACGGGUGGUCGCCCACACUGGGAUUGAGAUACGGCCCAGACUCCUACGGGAGGCAGCAGUCGAGAAUAGUCUACAAUGGUCGGAAGACUGAUAGUGCGACGCCGCGUGAACGAUGAAUCCCUUCGGGGUGUAAAGUUCUUUUAUAUGUGAGCAGUGCUUCUUAUAUUAACAGUAUGGGGAGAGAGAUAUUAGCAUAUGAAUAAGCAACGGCUAACUCCGUGCCAGCAGCCGCGGUAA
rnacentral:rRNA from 1 species